AGGGAUUGACUGUCUGGGAGGGUCUACCUGAAGCAGUAGGAUUCCAUUUCUCAUCUGCAUCUGGAGGUCUGGGGAGCUGCAGAAGAGGACGAGUGCACUGGACUACCUUCUGAUGAUUUCCUGGAGAACAACUACAGCAUUCACCUGUUCCAAGACAGUCUGGGAACUUAAAGGUUCUUUAGAGCUAGAUACACAGAAGAUAACAGUCCUAUGGUUUAUCUAUAGUCCAGAGACUCAGAAACAAUGAGGCAAGGUGAGUGAAACUUCCUGCUGAUGACAAUGUACCAUAAAGAGAAAGAAACAAAAAAAGAAGGGAAGGUGACACUAAAAAAUUACAGUCAGAUUUGAAUCAUCUGUGUGAUUGCCUUUCAUAUUUAAAAAGUUUUUAAAGAUUUGUGUGACUAAAAAAGCAAAGGAUAUCCUGAAGAAUACUGAGGAAUUUCCACUUAUUGUAGUUCACAUGGAUACAGAUCCACACAAGAGGAGCAAGAUGUGCAGGCCAGAAGGACAGUGUUGGAUAUCCAGGAAAAGAAAAUAACCCAAAUUGGAUAUCACCAUCUUGCACAACUCAGUGGUCAGUAGAGCCAAAGAAAAGGUAACAAAGAAGACAUCAGGUGUCCGUGGACUCCAGUGCAAAGGAGCAGUGGGGCUCCUAAAAUAGCAAGGUGCAUUUACAUACAACUCCCGCCUCCAAAACUCACCACACAUUUUAGGAGGCCUUUCAGAAGGAUUAGGAAGACACUGAAGAGGAACAUCAAUGUAAACACAUAAAAGUAGCAUUGCUCUUAUACAAAGCAAUGGAAUAGUAGUACAAGAGAUAAAGAGUAAAACUAAAAGUAGUGCGUGUCUGUAGUUAACAACAAAAAAAUGCAAUAGCUAGCUGCACAACAUAUUAUAUAUCAUCAGAAACCCUAAAAAUGUAUGGAGCUAUGUUAAGGGAGACACUUUGCCAGAUCAGUAUGGAAGAUAAAAUCUGACGGUGAAACAUUUGGCUGAACUGUAGGAUAGCAUAAAUAACCAGAGCAAAGAACAAACUGUGCUGGAUGCUUGCAGGAGAUCAUUGGGACUGGUAAGGAAAAGCAGUCACUACUUUUUGUACAGCUUCUGAGGAACUCCAGAAGUUAGUGCAGUGGGGUUAGCAACUCCACAGAAAGAUUUUCCCUGUGAAAUAUACUUUUGCUGUAUGCUCACUGACACCAAGGAGGAAGAAUGUUGGGUGGCAAACUGAGUUCACACAUUAAAACAGCAAUGGCUUAUAUAGAGGAAAAAAGCACUAUUCCAGUAGGAAAAUCAGUCAGAGGAGCCACAUUGGAUGAGGUUUGUUCCAAUCUGAGUGGCAAAAUCUGUCUCACAAAUGCUCAUUUCAACUUUAAAUAUAAUUAUUUUUGUCACAGCCACUCUUGAUUACAAUCAAUGGACAGUCCUGUGAAAAGAUAUUAUGUUGUCCAAUAUCUUCAAGCCAUAAGCCAAUACACCAUGUUAACAUCCUGGUUCUACAUACUAGCUAAAAAGGGUAAAGCAUUAUUUGUCUGAUAACUUAAGCUGCAAUCACCCAAACAGGCAGCUGGACAUGGCCACCUUUAAAUUCAAGUUGUCACUCACAGUUUUUGUAUUACAGUAGACAUUAUUAGAAUAUUGCCUGUAUGAACCACUGGGGAAGUAUCUGCACAUGGCAGCUGGAGUCAGGAACAGAAUGACUGGCAAAGCAGGCAGUGAAACAGUCCUAUUAAUGGACAAAGAGGAUUAAUAAAAGGCUGGAUUUACCCCUUGUUUAUUAUAACAAUCUAUGUUCAUUCCCCUUUUCAUGUGCAUCGGCUGUUUUACCACACACUUUUCCACUGAGCAGCGGAGUAAAUAAAAACUGGUCAUGCUGGCUGACAUUGAUAAAAUCAAGUUCAUAGGCAGAUAUUUCAAACCCUUUAUUAGCAAGGCCAUAAACUACAUAUGCUGUUUGAUUAGGAUAUGAUGAAAAGAAUUUAUUAGCAGAUGUGUAUUCAGCUACACUGUUUUACUGGCAGCUUUAUGAGAUUCUCUCCUAGGCUGACAGGUGCGGCUUGCCAGCUGCCUUGUACAGCAAACAGGGGAUGGAGACCAUGCCAUGUGCAAUGAUUUAAUCAGUUACCAUCAACUGCUGGAAAAUAAACAAGCUUUUGUGCAUUUCUUUCAGUCCCAUGUAUAUUAAUUGAAACCAAAUAUUACAAAUGACACUGAAAGAGAGUAUCACUGAUCAGAGGAAACUUAAAUUUAAUAGGACACAGCCAUGUAAUACAUAAAUAUAAUAAAGCACAGUCAUGUAAUACAUAAAUAUUUGGUUAAAAGAUAGCAGAAUUUUGUUAAACUUGGCAAUGGGAAGUCUUUUGAAGUCUCAUUUGUCAGUUUCCAUUCGUGGGACAGUCAAAUCCAGUCAUUUGGGUCACAGCUGGCAAAAGAAAGAUGAUCCUCUUGGUUUAUUGUUCUGAUACAAAAUUGUCAUUACAAAUUGAAAACACAGGGCAAAUAAAAGAGGGCAAA